rnacentral:rRNA from 1 species
AUUGAACGCUAGCGGCAGGCUUAACACAUGCAAGUCGAACGAGUGGCGGACGGGUGAGUAAUGCAUGGGAAUCUGGCUUAUGGAGGGGGAUAACUACGGGAAACUGUAGCUAAUACCGCAUACCAUAGGAGGAGCCCAAAUGGGAUUAGGUAGUUGGUGGGGUAAAGGCUCACCAAGGCGACGAUCUCUAGCUGGUCUGAGAGGAUGACCAGCCACACUGGGACUGAGACACGGCCCAGACUCCUACGGGAGGCAGCAGUGGGGAAUUUUGGGCAAUGGGGGCAACCUGACCCAGCCAUGCCGCGUGAAUGAAGAAGGCCUUCGGGUUGUAAAGUUCUUUCGGUAGAGAGGCGUUAACUACAGAAGAAGCACCGGCUAACUCCGUGCCAGCCGCCGCGGUAAUAC